GGAGGUAAAAUAAGUUGGUUAGAGGCCAUUCUUCACGGGGACUGGCUGCCCGCUGGGGUCGCGUGCCCUUGGACGGACCCAGCACCUAUGCGAGAUAACUCCAGGGAAGCUCAAAGUCAGGUCAGCCGGGCUCAGCCCUCCGGCUCCUGACUGGCCAGAGUUUGGCCUUUGAGACUCAGAUUGGUCGCUCGCUCUCUCUCUCUCUCUCACACACACACACACACACAUUCUCUCUCUCUCUCUCUCUCUCUCUCUCUCUCUCUCUCACCCAUCCCCUUACGAAAUCUGACCUCUGUUUAUCAGGGUCAGGCGCGCCCUUUGCACUUUUACAUUUCCUUUAUUUAUUUCGGACUUGAUCGUGGCGGGGAGCAAGGGGGAAAAACAAUACCCCAGCCCUCACCAGCUCCCCUCGAAGGGUUAAAUUUUAAACGGCGGUUUCUGGAACUAGCCCGGAAACCCAGAGUAGGGGGGUGGGGUGGGGGAGGCUGUUCCCCCCACCCCAGUUGCAAAUGCUAAUAAGUAGUUCCAUUUUCUAGAUCGAUUCUGUUAAAGUGUAUGCAAAAAAGAAAUAAAAAAGAAAGAAAAAGAAAAGAGAAAGAAGGAAACCAACAACUAACUCUGUUUCUAAGAUUUUAAAGCGAUAGGCAAGUCGAAGAAGCAGAGAUUUAUUUGGAGAGAAAGCCCCUGAAACCGACCCGGCCUUUGAAAGACCAGUCCGCCUGCUUAGAAGUUGGGACUGUUGAUUCCUUCAAUUAAUGAAAUGCAUUUGGUGUUGUUAAUCGUAUUUAUUUUACUUUAUGUGGGGGGGAAGACGCUAGGAGGGUGCAUUAAAAAAAAAAAAAAAAUUCUGAAAAGCCUGCAAAAAGAUCGAAGAGUGGAAACUAUUGUUGGAGCGAGUUGGUUUUUACCUCAACAGCGCCACCUUUCGGCAAAGGGUUCUUCCUUGGAAAACAAUAUACAUCACUUAAUGAAAUCUGUUUGUUUUGCACAAGAGACAUAA
rnacentral:lncRNA from 1 species